CCAGUCUGCGGGUUAGGAGCCCAGUAUUUGUCAGAGUGGGAUGCGAUUACAUCGUCUGGUACCACAGUAGGGCGGACAUGCUCCUCUGGGUUCUUGUCAUAAACUGAAACGUGCACCCUCCUACAAGUUGAGGUAAAAUCAUCACAAGUUAAUAAUCACCGAGCAACAAAUAAUAGAAACAAGGAUCAAAAAUUGUAAAAUCACGUAAUAUUAUACAGGGAAAAAAAAAUGAAUACUUGAACAUGGCAGUAAAUCUAGGCACGUCACAAUUGUAUAAAUCUUCUUUGAAGGAAAAUUUAUAGUUCACUCCAAACUAAAUUUGCCACCCUCCAUCCCUAUGCAUGAAAUUAAAUUUAGAGAACUUAAAAUAAAAUAAAAUAAAAUAAAAAUUCAAAAACUCUAUACUACUAAACUUUAAUGAUAGGUUUGUUUUUGUAACACGUUAGAGUAGUCAGUGUCCAUAGGGUUGGGAUAUUAGUCUCAUGAUCAGGGAAAAACAAAUAAUGAGAUAAGGACUAGCCACCAACCAAGCUUCAUUCCUUUAUUAAUGAACAUAAGAUAUUAGCACAUUUCCACGGUUGAUGUUUGAUAUAGGUGAAAGAAAAGCUGUAAAGUGUAAACAAAACAAGGAUACAUACAGAACAAACAAUGAUGAUGACUCCAUAUCCUAUCAGAUGGUAGUGGGGUCCUAAUAUUGAAAAAGAGGAGGAGAUAGUGAUCAUAAUAUUAAUUAUUUUAUAAAUGUCCAAUUCAAAUAGGGGACCCAAAAGAAAAUUAAUUUUGAAAUAUAUAAUAUGGCAGCGAAGAGACGACACGAAUUCAGCAGUGUGUUACAGAUAAUAAGACCUUGAAUCAAGGACUAAGAUUGAAGAAAUUUACAAGGUUACAACCAUAUCAAGUAAAUUCGUUUCUGGUUUAAAAGAAAGUAAAUUCAAUCAAUUUUGAUUCGCAUGUCAUAUCUAAUCCUGUGCAUAUUAAUCAGGUAUGCAAUAAUACAGGAAAUUCUAAGAUGCAAAGUUUAUGCAACAGAUCUAUGGCAAGGAGCCCAAGGACCAUGAAAAAGUAGGUGCACAAGAAAUAUCCUUCAACAAGCUCAUAUGAAGUGGAAUCAUGCUAUUUGUACAAACUAGGUUGACAAACUAUGUGUUGACAACAUGUAGGCUAAUCAUUUCAAAACAAUUUUUGAAAUCAAUGGUCUAGAUCUUGUCAACACUUAGUUUGUAAACCAGAUUAAUUCUAUGAAGUGAGAGGCAUCCAAUCAAAUCAUAACCAAUGUUUUUGCUUCAAAAAGGCACAUUCACUCCAACCCAACAUGUCAAAGUGCUAGGCAGUACACAUUUUUCUUAACAAUUAACGUGUGCCAUGAGUCGUACCUAAUUCAUCU
rnacentral:lncRNA from 1 species